rnacentral:tRNA from 1 species
GUUAAUGUAGCAAAGUCUGGUUUUGCCAAAGAUCUAAACCCUUUUCACAGAGGUUCAAAUCCUCUCAUUAACU